rnacentral:pre_miRNA from 1 species
UUAAUACUCCCUCCGUCCCAAAAUAACUGUCUCAAAAUAACUGUCUCAAGCUUAGUACAACUUUGUAUUAGAACUAAUACAAAGUUGAGACAGUUAUUUUGGGACGGAGGGAGUAGUAU